rnacentral:rRNA from 1 species
ACGGAUAAAAGCUACCCCGGGGAUAACAGGCUUAUCUUGCCCAAGAGUUCACAUCGACGGCAAGGUUUGGCACCUCGAUGUCGGCUCGUCGCAUCCUGGGGCUGGAGUAGGUCCCAAGGGUUGGGCUGUUCGCCCAUUAAAGCGGUACGCGAGCUGGGUUUAGAACGUCGUGAGACAGUUCGGUCCCUAUCCGCCGUGGGCGCAGGAGAUUUGAGGGGAGCUGACCUUAGUACGAGAGGACCGGGUCGGACGGACCGCUAGUGUACCGGUUGUUCCGCCAGGAGCACCGCCGGGUAGCCAUGUCCGGAUGGGAUAAGCGCUGAAAGCAUCUAAGUGCGAAGCCCACCCCAAGAUGAGAUCUCCCACCGGGUCAACCGGGUAAGACCCCAGCGAGACCAGCUGGUUGAUAGGCCGCAGGUGUACGAGCGGCAACGCUUUGAGCUGAGCGGUACUAAUCGGUCGAGGGCUUGACCUCUCC